GUGGGAGGGGGCUUGCCCCCGAUGGCGGUGGCUCAGUCAAAAUAUUUAGUGACUGACACUCUGCUAUCGGGGGCAAGCCCCCUCCCAC
rnacentral:misc_RNA from 1 species